ensembl:lncRNA ZBED3-AS1 ZBED3 antisense RNA 1
GAAAGUGGGCGACAUCAAGCAAGUCCCAGUUACAGAAAGAACCCACUGCAGGGCGUCCAGUCACUUGCCCAGUGAAAAGACUGUAAUCAGACAACUUUAAUAAAGGGAGAGCAGGAGAGUGGUGACGAAUUUCCACAUUCCGAACAAGCUUGUCGAAAGAGGAGUGCAGGGAAGGAGCAAGAAUGAGGCACUGGAAGACGGUGAGCGGGGCCUUGCCACAGAAUCCCGGGCCCACCUGCUUUCUCACAGUCGCGACAGCCGGCCCGGAGAAGGGCAGCCCAGCGAAGGGCACGCCCCGCGCGGGUGCCAGGGAGGCCGGCAGGGGCGUCCGCGGUCGCUGCUCACCUGCGCUCCCCGCUGCCCGGCCCAGCCCGCCUCGCCACCGAGUCUGGAAGCCCACACUCACCCCUUUACCCGGGAAACGCGGCCGGAGCCGGCGGCGGGUCGGGAGUCCGAGAUGGUAGAUCCCCCUCCAGGCGCCUCGCUGACAUUUUGUCCCGGACGGAAAACCUCCGCGCGUGCCCCUUAAAGACACAGCGCUGCAUUCACACGUCUGCGGGGAAAGGGGGGCCGUCACGUGUGGCCUUCGCCCGAAAGCGGUAGGGGAGUCGCUCUGAAACCGCCAAGGAUCGCGAGCGACAGAUUUGUGUUGGCCAGGGUUUUAAGAUGACGCAAUAGCUGAGUGUGGUUGAAAUGUAACUAUUGUUUUACAACUUUGCAUUAACCUUCCAAGACCUGAAUUCCCGGGCCUGAGUCUCAGAGCGCGGUUUGCAUCUUUGCAGGCUGUAGGCGCAUGAUGUCACAAGUUAUUGGAAGAAAUCCCUCCAACCUAGGUUGGGACAGAUGAAGGCGGCGCUUAUUGGUGUUCACCAAAACACCAGCAUGGUGUACCAGCUUUGGCUAGAUGAUGCUCAGGCCAGCAGGAGCCAGGCCGUGGCCUGCUGACUGCAUCUGCCAGAUGACUACCAAUGUGUGAGUAAACCCAUUCUCAAGCCCAAGAGAACCUCUCAGCUGAACCAGGCCCAAGUUGCUCACCCACUGAACUGCCAGUUAAAUAAAUGGUGGUUGUUUUAAUCCACUAAAUGCUGGGAUGGUUUGUUAUACAGCAGUAGGUAUCAAUACAGUGUACUUGUCAAUCUAGGAAUUCCUGUCUUGUCAAAUCUGAGAAAAUUCUCGGUCACUGUCACUUCAAAUAUUACUUCUUUCCCAUUUUCUAUUCACUCAUUCCAAAACUCCUAGUGGAUGUCUUUUCUGUCAUUUCUGGUUCUGUCUUUUGUGAUCUUAAACUUUCAUUCAUUGUUUUUCCAUUUUUACUUCCGUGUUACAUUUUGAGUCAUUUCCUUAGUUCCAGUUUGCUUAUUUUCUAUUCAACCAUUAAAUAUUUCUAUUUAGUUUUAAGUUUCAGUGGCUAUAAGUUUCAUUUAUAAAAGAACUAUUUGGUUAUUUUCUAAAUCUGCAUUUUGUUUUCACAUGUUUUUCUGUUUUUUAAUUUGUAUUUUCCUUUGCCCUUGUAAAUCAUUUAAAAUGUACUUAUUUUAUAAUCAUCUGUGGCUUGAUCUGUUUCUUUACUUCUUGGGCAUUACUUUUUCUGUUAAUUUCAUGAUCUGACCCUCAAGGUGGUUUCCUCCUAUGGUUUGUAAUUUUUAUUAUGAGCUUAUUUUCAGCAGGGAUUUCUCCCCUCUGGUGAAGAUCUGUAUGCCUUGGGUAAUGUGAUUGUCACUUCACUAUGCCUGCAAGUUUGCUUCUGAUGGCAUCCUACCGAUAUCACCAACUCUCAACCAGCUCUAAUGUUUCUUGGUAUUUCUGCCCACAGUGAAAAUUCAGAGCUCACUUCAAUGCAUGGCAUGGGCUUGGCUUCAAGUUUUUCUGUAUGACCUUUUUUUAAAUUUAUUUUUAUUUUUUUAAACCUAUAGCCCAAGGACACGGGAGCUUUUUUUCCUGAUUUGUUUUUGCCAACACUGUAGCCCUCAGGAACUCAGAUUUUGCAAAGUGCUCAAUUCCAGUUGCCUUCCUUACUCACACCAGAGACAAUAUUUUAUUGGCCUGCAAGGGUGUUAAAAUCCCAAGGGUGUUAAAAUCCCCAGAUCUCCAGGGCCUAUCAUUGGUCCAAACCCUGCAGAGGCUACAGUGACAUUAGCCCCUACUUACUGCCCAGCCUCUGAGCUCCCUCUUUGUUUCUAGAAUCUGGGGAUUUCCCUUUCUCUCUGUCUAGAGAUUGUUGUGCUGGACCCCUAUUGACUCCAAUAGGAAUGGCACCAGGUUCAAGAGGCCAAAGAAGAGACCUGGAGCCAGCAAAUGAGACAUAAGAUUUGAUUUGGGGGAACUUAUGUACAGGGAUGGACUAGUGGCAGUGGGCUGGAUAAGAGAACCACAACUGCUUUCCAAAAGCCUGCAGUUUAUACAGCACCUUCACUCAGCACCCUCUCUCCAGCAACAUCCACAUGGCAACCCCCAUUUCCUAGGCUAAGUUAUUGCUGUCAGAUGUGUUUGCCAUACAGGCUGCUGUACAGAGUAUGCUUAAGUUAUUGCUGUCAGGUACAUCCACCGUAUAUAUACAUACACAUGUACGUAUAUAUACACAUACAUGUAUGUGUGUGUGUACAUAUUUGUACUCAUAUACAUGUGUAUAUAUAGAUAUAUAAAAAAAUUUUCUCUGUGUUUCCCUGUAACAGUAACUGAAGAGGGAAUUCUUCUAUAUAAUCUCAGUCCACUAUAUUGCUAGAAGUUCUCUUCUCUAUACUUUUGAGAUAUGAAUUUUACCUUUCAAUAUUCUAAAAUUAUAACAAAGCUAUAAAUUUUGGGAAUUGGUAUAUGUUUGUUUUUAGAAAAAUUGUUAGAAACAUAAUAGCAAUGGGAUGCUUUAACAUGCUACCUUGAACCUUUACCAAAUCAAGAGAGUAAAAAUUAAGCACAAAAGAGGGAUCUAAUACUAUAAACAAGGUAGAUUUAAUACAUAUGUAUCAAACAUAGUAACCUAGAAGCAAUGAAUAUACAUUUUCUGGUGCUCAUUUAACAUUAACGACCUUCAAGAAGGCUUUAAACAGCAACAGAUAGAGUUGAGUUGCUUUGGCCUAUUGCUAAAGGCAUCUAACCCACCUGCUUUGUGGGAGGUCAUCUGCUUUGAAUCUCAACUGUAUCCAAGUCAGAUUUAAACUCUAUGGGGCAUUGGAAUUGUCCUCUGAAUCAUCUCCAACUCUGCAGGAUACAUAAUAGCACCACUUUGUUGUUCUGGAAUUUAAAGACAGGGUCUUAUUCAACUUUGGCUAUUUUUGUGCAGUCCAUGGAUCCUUGAAACAGGACAUUCUACUUUACCAAUAUCUGACUCAUAGAAGACCUAUCUAUAUACCUACCAGGUGGCUACUACCCAGUAACUCCUACCGCCAAUACCAUGACAUUUGUUUUGAAAACCUUAGCUUAUUGCAAUAUUGCUUAUAAUUAUGAAACCUUAGAAACAACUGAAAUGCCUAUCAAAGAGAGAAUUUAUAAAUAAAAUGUAACAUAUUCACGUUCUAUUUUGAUAUGAAUUACCAUAAUAUUCUAUUAGGAUAUGAAUUGUUAUAAUGGCCAUUAGAAGGAAUGGAUUGUUCCCAUAUAUAACAUAAUAUAUCCAUGUAUAAAGUAUCUAUAUAAUACCAACACGUAACAUAAUGUAAAGAAAAGAGAUUCAUGGAAUAAAAUGUGCAUGUCAUUGAUAUAAAUUUUAAAAACACAGAAAUAAUACAUUAUAUUAAGACUAUAUAUGUAUGUAAAAUUAUUACCAGUGGACUGAUUUGGAUAUACACUAAAUUCAUGCUACUUGCUUCUGGAGGUUGCAGUAAAGAACUGGAACUGUGUCUGGGGAUGUCACUUUUAUCUGUUUUAUUUAGUUCAUUUUUUAUAAACAAUCCUUGAGGCAAAUAUGAGCUGUUAAUAAAUGCCAAUUAGUCUUUUUGCA